CUAUAAAUUAAUAUCAUCAACGUCUUUUGUUGAUUGUAAAAUCUUUUUAUGGCGGACUCACAGCUGCUUCCUGAUUGGACAGAUUCAGAGGAAGAGGUUUUAGAUCAGACCGGAAGUUCCGGUUUCACAAACGAGCGGCGGGGAAACCAAACUAGAAGUCUUCAUGGCUGAAAAUUACUCCAAAUCGAAGUUGAAACGUCGAAAGUUUUGGGUGGAAGGAAAGUUUACCCCGACAGACAGCCGGCGCGAAACAACCCCGCCGGGAGCGACGGGGAAGGGCGGCUCGACAGAGUCCGGUUCCAGCGGAGCCCAGGAGGGGUACGUGAUCAGGACAUGCUCGCCCUUUCCCGCCGCCACAGCCCGCCGGAGCUGCCAUCAGCCCCCCCCUGAGACAAAGAGCCUGUGGGUGGUGGCACUGUCUGCUGUGGAGGGCCUGCAGGGGGGCUUGGUUCCGGAGCUCCCCCCUCCUUCUGCAGCGACGCCGUCGUCAGACCGGGAUGGAUGGCGCUGGUGUGACCUCUCCGCAGAGGUCGAUCCGUUCCCACAAUCCUCGUGCCGCUCUCUGGUCCCGUCCAGCCAGAGCUUCGUCCAGCAGGAGGCAGAGCAGCGGGCCGAUCCUCUGACAGAGACUCCUCCCCCCAGGACGACGGAGGGAGGGCGGUCCGACAGCAGCCAGCGGGGUUCUGGUUCUGUAGGAGAGGAGGAGGAGCAUGGAGGAAGAGGAGAGCUGCAGAGCUGCCCCAUGUGUCUGCAGGAGUUCCCCUCAGGGUUCUCUCAGAUGGACCGUGACAGCCACCUGGCCCAGUGUCUGUCCGCCAUGAAUGUGGACGUCACCUGGUGA
rnacentral:lncRNA from 1 species